rnacentral:lncRNA from 1 species
ACGAAAAUGAAAAUAUUCUACUAAUAAUACAAAUAAAUCCCUAUAAAAAGUAAUGGAUUAUAACAAAGAACAGAAAAAUAAAAUAAAAUAAAAAAAUUAAGAAGAAAGCACAAGUAAAUAGCCACCAAGAAAGUAUAAAUGAAUAAACCAAAAACCAGCGUUUAGUUGUGCAGUUUAAACUGCUCAAGUUGAUAAUACAUACUAAAAUGCAUCAUAAAACCUUGCAAACCAGUCUUGGCAACCCAAUGUUUACACUGCAAAUAGAUUCCAUAAACAAAACUUCGCGAAUAGUUCUUCAGAGAGAAGUUUUUUCAGCUUCUCGUAUUUACCUGAGUGCACAGCGCGCUGUGUUUUCAAAGGCCUUCUGUCAAAUAAUGCCUAUAACAAACGCUGCCUGUUCAAACUUCAACUUGUGUAUCUUGCGGGCAUGGUGGUUCUUCAGAGUCACGUGCCUUCUCUUCUGUGACAAUAUUGUCAUAUCAAAUCAAUUUGACCUCAUUUGAACAAGAAAGAAUACACAAAUACAUUUAUAGAGAUGAGGAUUGAUGAGUGUAAUUCAUUCAUUAAACUAAAGCUUCUAAAUCACGUUUUUUGAUGUGUUCUUAAGCAUUUUUGAACGUUUUGAUGUGUGUGUUCGUGUUGUUUUGCAGUUUGGACAACUCUCGAGAAAAUGCCACUAUUGGGAGCCGGUGAUGAGCAAAAAUGAUGAUCAAUGAAAUGGAGCAUGAAUAAGCAAGUAUUGAAUAAGAUUGAAGUGGAAAAUAGGCUUGGAAAACAAAGUGAAGAGAAGCAAAACAGUGGCAUUGGCACAACGGCGCAGAAAAAGCGAUGAAUUCAAGCAGAAACUUAGGCGCUACGGCGCCAGACCUAGGCGCCAUGGCGCCCAAAUGAGGACAAGAAGGAAGCAGAAACUUAGGCACCGUGGCGCCAUGGCGCCCAACGCAGGCAGAACCGAGUAGAAACUCUGGCGCCACGAUGCCAUGGAGCCAUGCUUGGGCGUCGUGGCACCAAAUCCCAAAACGUUAAAAUCCGAAUUUUUAAUUAUCUUUUCGGCCCAAAAAAAUCAUACCCUAACCCUUGAGGACUCUUAGAAAAUAUAAAUACCAAGAUGAAGAACAAGAAAAGGGGGUUUGACGGCGGAAGAGGCAAGAAAAAGAGAGGCACCAAUAGAGAGAAGAUCGACCCGAUUUUGGAGAAGAAGAAGGGAGAAAAUUGAGAAAUCAAACAACAAGAUUGAGAAAUAGAGCAGCAACUUGGGUUUUUUCUAUCUUUCUCUUAUACAUGCACUCUAGUUUGUAUUUAAUUGUGUUUUUCUUCUCAAUCAUGAACUAAACUAUUAAAUCUAGGGUUUGAUGUAACCUAUUUGAGACAUGAUUUAAUUUCUUUAUAGUAUUUCCAUUUAAUUUUCC